CAGGAGAGUAGGUGCACAAAAGUCAGUUGGUGCCGGUGACUCAGGAGACUGGAUGCAGCUGGGAACUGCUGAACACAGCCAGCCCCGGGAGCAGUGAGAGGAGACAAGUGACAGCCGCUAGGGAGAACCGGCAGAUCUUUACAAGGGGGAGCGCUGUGAGAGUGUGACGCAGCCCAGAGAAGACGUGGUCGGGAGCCCGGAGUCUGCACGGUACCUGCCAGCUAUCCUUCCAGGCAUCGGGAGGAGAGGAGAUCACACUGAGAUGAGGACGUACUCCAAAAGAGAAAUGGCUUACUCGAGACAAAAAACGAGGGAGAUGCCAACACACUUGGAAUACCACGGGUCACAGUUUUCCAUGAAAGGUCAUCAGAAUUAAUAUAAGAGCCUGGCUCUGUAACAGGCUAACUCGAAGAAAUAUCAAUAAAAUAUAAUGAAGACAAUAUUUCAAACAUUCAAGAAUGAAAAAUACAGACUAAGAUUAUAAAUUGUAUUCAGGAUUUUCAAUUCUGAACCUGUUAUUUCCCCUUUUCAAUAAAAAAAUCAUUGCAUUGGAAUAUUCA